AACGAAUAUACAAAGCUUUCUUCACUUAUGCUUACGAUUCCAAGGGGUGCUUCUUUAUAUCCAUUGGUCCCUUCCAUUAUAGAAUUGAAGCAUGACAGGAGACCUCAAAUGGAUAUUGUUGAUGUGGUUGGGAGAAUAAUAGAAGGCAAACGUGAUCGAUGUUGUUUUGAACUUUCUCUUCAAGAUAAGACUGGUCACACAAUACAAUUGUUUUUGUCUGCCCUGAAGCCUUCCGAUGUUAUACGUUCCAUUCGAGCCGUGCAACAAAGGUCUAUCAUAUAUGUAUCACGUCUCAAGUUGGUUCAUCUACCAGAUAGUAUGUUAUGCUUUACACAUGAACAUUCUAAUAAUUAGUUAGAUCUAAUGGCUCAUGUAGUUUAAUAAAAGUUAUAUUUUAUUUGUUAUUUCAGUUAAUAUUUUGAAGUCUACGGAGUUGAGUACGAUUACGUACGAACCGGAUAUGGUCGAGGCACGGGAUAUGUAAAUUAUGGAUCGUUAUCCAAUUUGUGUUUAAGUUAGAAACAUUUGGUGUUGUUAUUUGUUUAGUUGUUGAAUAUUAAAGUCUCUCUUGGUGUUUCGUGUUUUGCUUUUUGUUUCCCUCAUAUUGAUGUAAUUGUAGAAGUAUGCUUUUUGUUUCACCAAGGUAUAAUCUUCUUAGA